rnacentral:rRNA from 1 species
CCUACGGGAGGCAGCAGUGAGGAAUAUUGGUCAAUGGACGAGAGUCUGAACCAGCCAAGUAGCGUGAAGGAUGACUGCCCUAUGGGUUGUAAACUUCUUUUAUAUGGGAAUAAAAUGUUCCACGUGUGGGAUUUUGUAUGUACCAUAUGAAUAAGGAUCGGCUAACUCCGUGCCAGCAGCCGCGGUAAUACGGAGGAUCCGAGCGUUAUCCGGAUUUAUUGGGUUUAAAGGGAGCGUAGGUGGAUUGUUAAGUCAGUUGUUAAAGGUUGCGGCUCAACCGUAAAAUUGCAGUUGAAACUGGCAGUCUUGAGUACAGUAGAGGUGUGCGGAAUUCGUGGUGUAGCGGUGAAAUGCUUAGAUAUCACGAAGAACUCCGAUUGCGAAGGCAGCUCACUGGACUGCAACUGACACUGAGGCUCGAAAGUGUGGGUAUCAAACAGGAUUAGAUACCCUUGUAGUC